GCAGGAGUGGCGGAAUGGCAGACGCGCUAGUUUCAGGUUCUAGUGAGAUUUUCUCGUGUGGGUUCAAGUCCCAUUUCCUGUA
rnacentral:tRNA from 2 species